UACGGAGGGGGCUAGCGUUGUUCGGAAUUACUGGGCGUAAAGCGCGCGUAGGCGGCUUUGCAAGUCAGAGGUGAAAGCCCGGGGCUCAACCCCGGAAUUGCCUUUGAGACUGCAUCGCUAGAACGUCGGAGAGGUAAGUGGAAUUCCGAGUGUAGAGGUGAAAUUCGUAGAUAUUCGGAAGAACACCAGUGGCGAAGGCGGCUCACUGGCCCGAUACUGACGCUGAGGCACGAAAGCGUGGGGAGCAAACAGGG
rnacentral:rRNA from 1 species